rnacentral:rRNA from 1 species
CCAGACUCCUACGGGAGGCAGCAGUGGGGGAUAUUGCACAAUGGGGGGAACCCUGAUGCAGCGACGCCGCGUGGGCGAUGGAGUGCUUCGGCAUGUAAAGCCCUAUCAGCAGGGAAGAAAAUGACGGUACCUGACUAAGAAGCCCCGGCUAAAUACGUGCCAGCAGCCGCGGUAAUACGUAUGGGGCAAGCGUUAUCCGGAUUUACUGGGUGUAAAGGGAGCGUAGACGGCCAGACAAGUCAGAAGUGAAAGCCCAGGGCUCAACCCUGGGACUGCUUUUGAAACUGCCGGGCUGGAGUGCAGGAGAGGUAAGCGGAAUUCCUAGUGUAGCGGUGAAAUGCGUAGAUAUUAGGAGGAACACCAGUGGCGAAGGCGGCUUACUGGACUGUAACUGACGUUGAGGCUCGAAAGCGUGGGGAGCAAACAGGAUUAGAUACCCUAGUA